GAAUGCUGACAUAAGUAACGAUAAAGCGGGUGAAAAGCCCGCUCGCCGGAAGACCAAGGGUUCCUGUCCAACGUUAAUCGGGGCAGGGUGAGUCGACCCCUAAGGCGAGGCCGAAAGGCGUAGUCGAUGGGAAACGGGUUAAUAUUCCCGUACUUGGUGUUACUGCGAAGGGGGGACGGAGAAGGCUAUGUUGGCCGGGCGACGGUUGUCCCGGUUUAAGCGUGUAGGCUGGUUUUCCAGGCAAAUCCGGAAAAUCAAGGCUGAGGCGUGACGACGAGGCACUACGGUGCUGAAGCAACAAAUGCCCUGCUUCCAGGAAAAGCCUCUAAGCAUCAGGUAACAUCAAAUCGUACCCCAAACCGACACAGGUGGUCAGGUAGAGAAUACCAAGGCGCUUGAGAGAACUCGGGUGAAGGAACUAGGCAAAAUGGUGCCGUAACUUCGGGAGAAGGCACGCUGACACGUAGGUGAAGUGAUUUACUCAUGGAGCUGAAGUCAGUCGAAGAUACCAGCUGGCUGCAACUGUUUAUUAAAAACACAGCACUGUGCAAACACGAAAGUGGACGUAUACGGUGUGACGCCUGCCCGGUGCCGGAAGGUUAAUUGAUGGGGUCAGCGCAAGCGAAGCUCCUGAUCGAAGCCCCGGUAAACGGCGGCCGUAACUAUAACGGUCCUAAGGUAGCGAAAUUCCUUGUCGGGUAAGUUCCGACCUGCACGAAUGGCGUAAUGAUGGCCAGGCUGUCUCCACCCGAGACUCAGUGAAAUUGAACUCGCUGUGAAGAUGCAGUGUACCCGCGGCAAGACGGAAAGACCCCGUGAACCUUUACUAUAGCUUGACACUGAACAUUGAGCCUUGAUGUGUAGGAUAGGUGGGAGGCUUUGAAGCGUGGACGCCAGUCUGCGUGGAGCCGGCCUUGAAAUACCACCCUUUAAUGUUUGAUGUUCUAACGUGGACCCGUAAUCCGGGUUGCGGACAGUGUCUGGUGGGUAGUUUGACUGGGGCGGUCUCCUCCUAAAGAGUAACGGAGGAGCACGAAGGUUGGCUAAUCCUGGUCGGACAUCAGGAGGUUAGUGCAAUGGCAUAAGCCAGCUUGACUGCGAGCGUGACGGCGCGAGCAGGUGCGAAAGCAGGUCAUAGUGAUCCGGUGGUUCUGAAUGGAAGGGCCAUCGCUCAACGGAUAAAAGGUACUCCGGGGAUAACAGGCUGAUACCGCCCAAGAGUUCAUAUCGACGGCGGUGUUUGGCACCUCGAUGUCGGCUCAUCACAUCCUGGGGCUGAAGUAGGUCCCAAGGGUAUGGCUGUUCGCCAUUUAAAGUGGUACGCGAGCUGGGUUUAGAACGUCGUGAGACAGUUCGGUCCCUAUCUGCCGUGGGCGCUGGAGAACUGAGGGGGGCUGCUCCUAGU
rnacentral:rRNA from 1 species